GGAAAACCUACAGAAUUAACUCACCCGGGCCAAUUGGGGCUUAUGAGAUUGUGCCUCCAACCAGAAAGCAUAACUCUACAGUAUAAUGAAAUAUGCCUACGUACCCUACAAAGAAAAGAGAUCUCAUGCAGAAGGGGGGAACUGCAAGUUAUUAGUGGCUGACAGAAUAUUGAUUCAACAAAGGAGGUUAAUUCCAAACCAAUUGUCAACAAUAUGCUGUGUCAUUUUCCUGGUUAGGAAUUAAGUUUGGUGUAUUCCCGUCCAAAUGUCUUAAGUGUGAAGUGCUGUUUAAGAACUUAAAAAACACUAAAUAUCCACUGCAUGAUUUAUUAAAAACUAUGUUAACCUAUAGCUUUGCAUUUCCAAAUUUGUAUUUAUAGGUCAUAUGUUCACA
rnacentral:lncRNA from 1 species